rnacentral:rRNA from 1 species
GCAAGUCUGGUGCCAGCAGCCGCGGUAAUUCCAGCUCCAAUAGCGUAUAUUAAAGUUGUCGCAGUUAAAAAGCUCGUAGUUGAAUUUCGGGAUCAAUAUUUCGGUCAUGCCGUUGGUAUGCACUGUUAUCAUUGAUUUCUCACCUUCUAAAGAACCAUAAUGCCAUUAAUUUGGUGUUACGGGGAAUUAGGACUGUUACCUUGAAAAAAUUAGAGUGUUUAAAGCAGGCUCACGCUUGAAUACAUUAGCAUGGAAUAAUGAAAUAGGACAUCCGAUUCUAUUUUGUUGGUUUCUAGGAUCGAUGUAAUGAUUAAUAGGGAUAGUUGGGGGCAUUAGUAUUCAAUUGUCAGAGGUGAAAUUCUUGGAUUUAUUGAAGACUAACUACUGCGAAAGCAUUUGCCAAGGAUGUUUUCAUUAAUCAAGAACGAAAGUUAGGGGAUCGAAGACGAUCAGAUACCGUCGUAGUCUUAACCAUAAACUAUGCCGACUAGGGACCGGAUGAUGUUAAUUUUUUAAUGACUCAUUCGGCGCCUUACGGAAAC